rnacentral:rRNA from 1 species
AUUCAGACCUUCCAGAACAAGGCUCUCAGAAUAAUAUCCAAUGCGCAUAUAUACACCACCAACUUAGAGAUCCACGAGGAACUCAACAUGCCCUGGGUUCAGGACGAAAUAGCUAGGCUCAGCAAGGCUCAUCUGGAGCGUCUCGACAGGCACCCCAACCAGCUGGCCACAAAUCUUCUAGACAACAGCACUACCACCCGCCGCCUAAGAAGACUCCAUCCAUUGGACCUACCAGCCCGCGAGGAGUGAUCAGCUCACUGGCUCUCACUACCAACGCCACCCUUCCCCCCACCAACAUAACCCUAAAUAUCCUAACCUUAACGAUGAUUUUGCCUAAACAUCAUAGUCUGUUAUAUUUGUUGUAAAAUUCAAUUCCCCAAAUCACUGUCACGCCCCAUAAUUUACUUAUUGUCCACAAAUCGGACAGAUUGUAAAUAGAAGAUCACCGUUAAAUAAAAAAAAAAAAAAAAAAAAAAAAAAAUAUGUAAUAUUGGUAAAAUUCUUAAAUACAUAUGUCUUAUGCAUUUAUAAUCGGCAAUGUCUAUUUAUUUAUUUAUUAUAAUGAAAUUUGAUGGUAUUUAUAAAAAUUUAUAAACGAUGCCAGCUAGCAAUUGGGUGUAGCUACUUUUAUGGCUCCCUCAGUCGCUUCCCGGGAAACCAAAGCUUUUGGGCUCUGGGGGAAGUAUGGUUGCAAAGCUGAAACUUAAAGGAAUUGACGGAAGGGCACCACCAGGAGUGGAGCCUGCGGCUUAAUUUGACUCAAUACGGGAAAACUUACCAGGUCCGAACAUAAGUGUGUAAGACAGAUUGAUAGCUCUUUCUCGAAUCUAUGGGUGGUGGUGCAUGGCCCUUCUUAGUUCGUGGAGUGAUUUGUCUGGUUAAUUCCGAUAACGAACGAGACUCAAAUAUAUUAAAUAGAUAUCUUCAGGAUUAUGGUGUUGAAGCUUAUAUCCCAUUAUAAGGACACUAGCUUCUUAAAUAGACAAAUUGCGUCUAGCAAUAAUGAGAUUGAGCAAUAACAGGUCUGUGAUGCCCUUAGAUGUCCUGGGCUGCACGCGCGCUACAAUGAAAGUAUCAACGUGUAUUUCCUAGACCGAGAGGUCUAGAGGUUUACCCGGGUAAACCUCUGAACCACUUUCAUGCUUGGGAUUGUGAACUGAAACUGUUCACAUGAACUUGGAAUUCCUAGUAAGUGUGAGUCAUUAACUCGCAUUGAUUACGUCCCUGCCCUUUGUGCACACCGCCCGUCGCUACCACCGAUUGAAUUAUUUAGUGAGGUCUCCGGACGUGAUCACUGUGACGCCUUGCGUGUUACGGUUGUUUCGCAAAAGUUGACCGAACUUGAUUAUUUAGAGGAAGUAAAAGUCGUAACAAGGUUUCCGUAGGUGAACCUGCGGAAG